CGAAAAAAGACCCUUCUGGAAUGGAAUGUUACUGCUACAAAAACCGCAAGCCUUCUGACAGCAAAAAAAGCGGUCCGCCCGCUUAAACUAGUGUCAGAAGAGGCGAAAUUGGACACAUAACGACUGGGCACGAGUCAAAUUUUCAGAUGAGUGUAAAAUAAAUCUAUUUAUGUACCUCAGAUGCAAGAAGCGUAGUGCGCCGCAGACAAAUGAAAGAUGUAGCCAUAACUGCGUUCAGAGUACUGUGAAAAAUUCAGCUUAAAGCAAUGUUGUUGUUGUUGUUUUAACAGUAAUGGUAACCCUGUCAGUGUAGGGCAUAUCACAACAACAACUAGCCCUAGCUUAAAGCAAUAAUAACCUACGGUGUUGGAAUAAUUUUGUUUCUUGGAGGAAAUAUAAACUCUUCUGCGCAUAUUGAAAUCAUUAAACAAGGCAUUUUUCCAACAAUUGAGCAGUCGUCAGAGCACGAAGGAAACAAUAUAUUUCAGGACGAUUAUUCACUUUGCAAUCGAUCGAAGUCGGUAUGUAAAUGAAUAUAAAUCUCUUUUGAGAAUGGAAUCAAUGGCGUGGCCAGGAAAUAGUCCAGACCUUAAUCCCAUUGAAAAUAUAAUAUGUGGUCUAUUUUAAAAAGAGAGAAACGCCAGCAGAUUUCCACUAACGUCAAACUGUUAAAGAAAGUAAUCGAAACUAAUUGCCACUGGAUUUAGAUGAGCCUGUGUAUGUGAUCACCAUAAAAUGCAUAGAAUAUUUAUUGUUGUUGAAUGAACGGCCUUAAAACCGAUUACAACUUGUCGCAAGAGAACAUUUCUAACUACGUAAAAGCAGUCAAAUAUGUAUAUAUAAAUGGACCUAAUUUCUUAAACCACUAGCCGAAAUUUAGCUACUAGCGAUGAGAAAUACACUACCGAAACGUUCCCACGACAGUCAACUCUAUUCGGAACGACCCACAUUUAUAUCUAGCGAAGGACUGUAAUUGCAGCACCAUUCCAGAAAAAAGUAUGGGGAAUGACAGCAAAACCAACAAUGCUAUCGAAACUCUUUGUCUGCCGUUCCCAUGACAGUCGGUUCUACGUUACCGAAACGACCCCGAUUUAUAUGCGACCAAGGAUCGUCACUUCAGCAGCAUUCCCUGUCCGCGUAUUGGGAAUGUUUAUGAUGCUACAACGACAACGCUAUCGAGACAAUUCUUAUUGUAAUAUCCCCAGCCCAAUGAUAAUCAGAUCUAAAUA